rnacentral:tRNA from 1 species
AAGGAUGUAGCUCAGUGGUAGAAUGUGUGCUUGGCAUGCACAAGGUCCUGGUUUCAAUCCCCAGUACCUCUG